rnacentral:rRNA from 1 species
GACGUAGGAGGCGAGCGUUUGUCCGGAUUCAUUGGGCGUAAAGAGCACGCAGGCGGUUUGGCAAGUCGGAUGUGAAACCCGAAGCUCAACUUCGGGCCUGCAUCCGAAACUGCCCGACUAGAGGUAGGUAGGGGAGAUCGGAAUUCCUGGUGUAGCGGUGAAAUGCGCAGAUAUCAGGAGGAACACCGGUGGCGAAGGCGGAUCUCG